CGAGCACGCGCGUGUGGCAUAUCAAUAAGCGGAGGAAAAGAAACUAACAAGGAUUCCCUUAGUAACGGCGAGUGAAGCGGGAAGAGCUCAAACUUGAAAUCUUCAAGGUUCUACCUUGACGAAUUGUAGUUUAUAGAAGUGUUUUCUGUUAGUGGAGUGGCAAAAGUUCUUUGGAAUAGGACAUCAUAGAGGGUGAGAAUCCCGUAUUUGGUCAUUCCUCCUAGCGUUGUGAUACACUUUCAACGAGUCGGAUUGUUUGGGAAUGCAGUCCAAAAUGGGUGGUAAAUUUCAUCUAAAGCUAAAUAUUGGCGAGAGACCGAUAGCGAACAAGUACCGUGAGGGAAAGAUGAAAAGAACUUUGAAAAGAGAGUUAAACAGUACGUGAAAUUGUCAAAAGGGAAGCGUUUGACACCAGUGUUGUUUUUCCGAAAAUCAAUUACGAAUGUUUUGUUUUUGAGGAGUUAUGACUUCAUCGGCUUGCUCCUUUCUUUACGAAACUUUCUUAAUGCACUUUUCGGUUAACAAGUCAACAUCAAUUUCUUUUGUUGUAAAAGGGUCAUUGAGGAAGGUGGCUUUCACUUUCGGAUGAAAGUGUUUAUAGCCUUGUGCUUCUAGCAAUCGGAGAGAUUGAGGUCUGCAGCGUAGAUCCUUCGGGGUUAGAUACGUAGAUGCUAAGUUAUAGUUUUUAUAGACAACUUGUUGACUAUGAUUAGUCAUGUAGCUUACUCGUUGACGCUAUUUUACCUACGCUUAGGAUGUUGAUGUGAUACUGCGAGC
rnacentral:rRNA from 1 species